rnacentral:rRNA from 1 species
GACGAACGCUGGCGGCGUGCCUAACACAUGCAAGUCGAACGGGGUAAUGACUUCGGUUAUUACUUAGUGGCGAACGGGUGAGUAACGCGUGAGAAACCUGCCUUUCAGUGGGGGACAACAGUUGGAAACGACUGCUAAUACCGCAUAAUGUUAUUUGGGGGCAUCCCUGAAUAACCAAAGAUUUAUUGCUGAAAGAUGGUCUCGCGUCUGAUUAGCUAGUUGGUGAGGUAACGGCUUACCAAGGCGACGAUCAGUAGCCGGUCUGAGAGGAUGAACGGCCACAUUGGGACUGAGAUACGGCCCAGACUCCUACGGGAGGCAGCAGUGGGGAAUAUUGGGCAAUGGGCGAAAGCCUGACCCAGCAACGCCGCGUGAAGGAAGAAGGCCUUCGGGUUGUAAACUUCUUUUACCAGGGACGAAUUUUGACGGUACCUGGAGAAAAAGCAACGGCUAACUACGUGCCAGCCGCCGCUGUAAAAC